rnacentral:tRNA from 1 species
GAGUGAUUAGUCUAAUUAAGACCACUAAUUUCGACUUAGUAAACCAUGACUAAUAACAUGAUCACU